rnacentral:lncRNA from 1 species
ACCAAAAAGCACCAGAUACUGGUCUCAAUCAAUUUACAAGUUUAUUUUGCCAAAGUUAAGAAUGUGUGCACCUGGGAGACAGGUCUGUACCUUUCUCCAAAGAUGAUUUUGAGGGCUUCAAUAUUUAAAGGGGAAAGGUCAGAUAUUGGGGAAAGAGGAAUUUUUUUUUUUUUUUUAGACAGGGCCUCACUGUGUUGCCCAGGCUGGAGUGCAGUGGUGCAAUCUCAGCUCACUGCAACCUCUGCCUCCCGGGUUCAAGCGAUUCUCCUUCCUCAGCCUCCCAAGCUGCUGGGACUACAGGUGCGCGCCACCACGCUCAGCUAAUUUUUGUAUUUUUAGUAGACGGGGUUUCACCAUAUUGGCCAGGCUGGUCUUCAACUCCCGACCUCAUGAUCCACCCGCCUCGGCCUCACCAAAGGGCUGGGACUACAGGUGCGAGCCACCGUGCCUGGCCUGAAAGAGGAAAUUUUUAAAAGGCAUGGGUAGGUAAGAGGCAAAUGGCUGCAUUCUUCUGAGUCUUUGAUAAGCCUUUCACAUGUUAGAGGGGGAUAGAGGAC